rnacentral:rRNA from 1 species
GACGAACGCUGGCGGCGUGCCUAAUACAUGCAAGUUGAGCGCUGAAGGUUGGUACUUGUACCAACUGGAUGAGCAGCGAACGGGUGAGUAACGCGUGGGGAAUCUGCCUUUGAGCGGGGGACAACAUUUGGAAACGAAUGCUAAUACCGCAUAAAAACUUUAAACACAAGUUUUAAGUUUGAAAGAUGCAAUUGCAUCACUCAAAGAUGAUCCCGCGUUGUAUUAGCUAGUUGGUGAGGUAAAGGCUCACCAAGGCGAUGAUACAUAGCCGACCUGAGAGGGUGAUCGGCCACAUUGGGACUGAGACACGGCCCAAACUCCUACGGGAGGCAGCAGUAGGGAAUCUUCGGCAAUGGACGAAAGUCUGACCGAGCAACGCCGCGUGAGUGAAGAAGGUUUUCGGAUCGUAAAACUCUGUUGGUAGAGAAGAACGUUGGUGAGAGUGGAAAGCUCAUCAAGUGACGGUAACUACCCAGAAGGGGACGGCUAACUACGUG